rnacentral:rRNA from 1 species
UACGAAGGGUGCAAGCGUUGUUCGGAAUCAUUGGGCGUAAAGCGCGCGCAGGCGGAUCAGUAAGUCAGAUGUGAAAUCUCGGAGCUCAACUCCGAAACUGCGUCUGAAACUACUAGUCUAGAAUGUCGGAGGGGGUAGGGGAAUUUCACGUGUAGGGGUAAAAUCCGUAGAGAUGUGAAGGAACACCGGAGGCGAAGGCGCCUGCCUGGACGACUAUUGACGCUGAGGCGCGAAAGCUAGGGGAGCAAACGGG